GACGAACGCUGGCGGCGUGCCUAAUACAUGCAAGUAGAACGCUGAAGGAGGAGCUUGCUUCUCUGGAUGAGUUGCGAACGGGUGAGUAACGCGUAGGUAACCUGCCUGGUAGCGGGGGAUAACUAUUGGAAACGAUAGCUAAUACCGCAUAAGAGUAGAUGUUGCAUGACAUUUGCUUAAAAGGUGCAAUUGCAUCACUACCAGAUGGACCUGCGUUGUAUUAGCUAGUUGGUGGGGUAACGGCUCACCAAGGCGACGAUACAUAGCCGACCUGAGAGGGGGAUCGGCCACACUGGGACUGAGACACGGCCCAGACUCCUACGGGAGGCAGCAGUAGGGAAUCUUCGGCAAUGGACGGAAGUCUGACCGAGCAACGCCGCGGGAGUGAAGAAGGGUUUCGGAUCGUAAAGCUCUGUUGUAAGAGAAGAACGAGUGUGAGAGUGGAAAGUUCACAAUGUGACGGUAGCUUACCAGAAAGGGACGGCUAACUACGUG
rnacentral:rRNA from 1 species